CACCAUCGCAGGUUGUAUAUGGCAUGUAUAGCUAGACUCACAUACGCUAUGUUAGUCCUAGAAUCGACUAAAAUGUGGCUCUGAUACCAAUAAAUGUAACACACCUAACCCGUAUCCGUCACUGGGAUAAGGUUACGAAGUAUUACUAGACUAAUCUCAUAAACAAUAGUAUAAUUCAAAUUAUAAUUCUAAUAUAAUUAAAAUCCAUACAAAUGCAAUCAAAUAGUCCCUA
rnacentral:lncRNA from 1 species